rnacentral:rRNA from 1 species
AUUGAACGCUGGCGGCAAGCUUAACACAUGCAAGUCGGACGAGUGGCGGACGGGUGAGUAAUGUAUGGGAAAGUGCCUGAUGGAGGGGGAUAACUGCCGGAAACGACAGCUAAUACCGCAUACCAUUCGAUCUGCCCAUAUGGGAUUAGCUAGUUGGUGGGGUAAAGGCUCACCUAGGCGACGAUCCGUAGCUGGUCUGAGAGGAUGACCCGCCACACUGGAACUGAGACACGGUCCAGACUCCUACGGGAGGCAGCAGUGGGGAAUAUUGCACAAUGGGCGCAAGCCUGAUGCAGCCAUGCCGCGUGUAUGAAGAAGGCCUUCGGGUUGUAAAGUACUUUUAGCGGGGAAGCGUUACCCGCAGAAGAAGCACCGGCUAACUCCGUGCCAGCAGCCGCGGUAAUUC